UACGUAGGGGGCAAGCGUUGUCCGGAAUUACUGGGCGUAAAGGGCUCGUAGGCGGCCAACUAAGUCAGACGUGAAAUCCCUCGGCUUAACCGGGGAACUGCGUCUGAUACUGGAUGGCUAGAGGUUGGGAGAGGGAUGCGGAAUUCCAGGUGUAGCGGUGAAAUGCGUAGAUAUCUGGAGGAACACCGGUGGCGAAGGCGGCAUCCUGGACCAAUUCUGACGCUGAGGAGCGAAAGCCAGGGGAGCAAACGGG
rnacentral:rRNA from 1 species